GACGAACGCUGGCGGUGUGCUUCACACAUGCAAGUCGAACGGGGGUAGCAAUACUCCAGUGGCGGACGGGUGAGUAACACGUAGGAAUCUGCCUCUAGAUGGGGGAUAGCAGACCGAAAGGUCUAUUAAUACCGCAUAUGCCGAAAGGUGAAAGGAGUAAUCCGUCUGGAGAUGAGCCUGCGCCCGAUUAGCUAGUUGGUAAGGUAAAGGCUUACCAAGGCUACGAUCGGUAGCGGUCUGAGAGGAUGAUCAGCCACAAUGGAACUGAGACACGGUCCAUACUCUACGGGAGGCAGCAGUGGGAAGUUUUACACAAUGGCGAAAGACCUGAUGUAGCGACACCGCGUGAGCGAAGAAGCCUUUUGGGUGUAAAGCUCUGUCAGCAGGGACGAAUACAAUGACGUACCUG
rnacentral:rRNA from 1 species